CAGAGCGGACUCGAAAGAGCGAAGUGCUUGUCCAGAUUCCUCACUGAACGUGAGCUUCAUCUUUCUCUUUCUCAUCAUACCACAGAUCUCCCUGUAACAGUGCUCCUCAUUCUCCAUAUAUAAGAGCUGUGGUUUAUUUGAUACUUAGAAGAGAAUGUUACUGCUGUGUAGAGGAAAGGAUAUGGGACUGUAUAUGGGAAGUGUAUUGAUAAAAGGCGUAUCCACGUUAAUUAAUUCCUGGAGGCAAGGCCCUUACAUUAAGGUUAAGAAAAUAAAAAUAUUUCAACAUUCUUUAUGAUGAGAGCAGGACAUUUGGCUUGCUAACUGUGCAUUUCUACUUGUCUGGAGAGUAUCCAGUCUCGAACCUCCCAGGGUUCUCCUCUCCUUGUAGUUCAUGCAUUAACAACAACAGUGCUUCCAAGUAUCAGGGAGAAAUUGACCUUUAUUCAGAGGUUUAAAAUGAAGAGCCCAACCAACAGAAGCGACAUCUCAUUCUAGGAACUAGACUAGAUAAAGCAGAGCUUUCAUGUUUUUGUUCAUUCAAGUAUCUUAGCUCUGUGUUUCUUCAGGUUUCUGUGUUUAUUCAAGUAAUAGUGGGCCGCUGGAAUCUGCAUGAUAUAGCAUCCAUUAAAAAAGUUUAAAAAUCAGCCAUAUGGGCCCUUGACCUCCUUGACAUCCUCUGCUAAUCAUGAUGUGCAUUAACUGUGUGGCUGAAGCUAUGACACAGAGCACUUGUUGUGCUGCUGGCGCCAACUUACUAUGUGACUAUGUCUGACAGGUGUAGCAUACAGCCAUACACUGGCCCAGAUCAUCUAGCAUUAAUGUACUGCAUAGGCAGCUGUUGAGUCUGUCCAUGUUACCAUGUGUUACAAUGUUAUUGCCAUCCCAAUCAAUGGGCCAAAAAGUGUGUCUGUAUUUGAAAGUGUGUUGUACUGGGUGUAUCAAAAAAUGUGAUUAUAGGACUUUAUAUAUAUGUGCCCAGCUCUAGGGGUGGGCGGUACACCAGUAUUAACAUGAAUACUGGUAUGACACAGCCAUAAUAUGGAUUUUUUGGUGUUUUGCAAAAUUAUCUAGCAUAAUCAAAUGUUAGCUAGCUGACUGGUCCCAACAAUAAAACCAACAAGGAAACUCAGCUGUAAUGUUAAUUUAAAAUGGAUUAUAAUAGUUGUUAGUUAUCUAAUACAUACACCUAGCAAGCUAACAGCAAUUCAAAACAUUAUAUGCAUUCAUUUUAACCAAAUAACAAACCAUUUGAAGCACAGCAUCCAGACAGCUAGCCCUAGAAAAAUACAUUAAGUCAGCAAUCCCACAAAUUUGUUGUGCUGUAGCUGUCUAGUAUUAGAUGACUUUGCAAACAAAUGUUAUAGCUAUCCAGUGUCAAUUAUAGUAAACGUUAAAUUAUACCAUUUAUCCACAUCAUAUUAUUUUAAGUUGUUGGUUCACGUCUGAACCGACUGCUACUGCCACCACAUGUAAGCUUGUCUGGCCAAGAAAUACUUUUACAUCCCCGCCACAAGUUCUUCGUCUCAGUGAGGUUUCAGUGCUGGUGAUUUUCUGUAUAUAAAGAGAAACUGAUUUGUCCUUGUGAUUAUAAUAAUAAUAAUAAUGUAAUAAAUUUUGUUUAUAUAGCACCUUUCAAGCAUAGAGAAAUAAGUGAAAAAGCACAGCAAAUCAGUCAUUACAGAAGGGAGUUUUGUGUAAAAAAGAAAA